rnacentral:lncRNA from 1 species
GCUGGACCACCUCACGCGUUGCGCGGCGCUAGAAAAUGCUGCGCACGGUGUACGUGUGAACACAGUCUGCCCGGGCUACGUGAAGACGACGUUGUUGAUGGGACCUGGUGUCAGCUUAGAGGAACACAUGGAGAUACUCGAGAGAACCGCCGGCCCUGCUCACGCGAUGGGACGAGUUGUCGCACCGGAAGAGGUGGCCCGUUGCAUCGCCUUCCUGGCGUCUGAAGACGCCGCCUUCAUCACGGGGGCCACAGUUCCUGUCGACGGAGGCCUGCUCCUUUUGUCCAGCAUCUCGAGU